GGGCCGCCGGGAAAUGGAGUCCAGGCCGCGCGCGGCGCUGGGCAUCCUGGGACGGCUGGCAGAUGGCUCCUGCUCCCGCCCCUGGGCGUCUGCGCCCCUCUCCCGAAACUCCGGGCUUUCCGACCCAGAGCCAGGACCCGCCCAGCCCGGUCUGGCGGACCGAGUCCCGCCCCGGCCUGGACGCGCCGGCUCCGAGUGCGCAGGCGCACCGUCCUCGGUCCCCGUAGGGGCCCAAGCCGGGCGGGGUUGAGGUGCGCACGCGCAGUGCACGGGCCCGCGGGCCCGAUUCCCUGGUUGGGCUUGCAAGCCAUAUGGAGAGGCCUACAUGGAAUGGAACGGGGCCUAUUGUCAAAAGCCAGCGCCAAUUCGCCAGCCAUGUGAAUGGAGCACCUGGAAGCAGAGAUUCUGGCCCCAUUUAAGCCUUCAAAUGACAUCUUGCUUACACGCAGCUAAACUGCUCCUGAAACCCUGACUCACAGACACUGUGAGAGAUGAUCCCAGCCCAGACUCUCUGUGUUUGCUUCUGUUUCCGUGAGGGAUUGUGACCUCUGCGGUAUCAUGAAGCAAAUGUCUGUCUCCGACUAUGCAUUCUCCAAGGUUUCACCGUAUUGGCUCAUCCGCAAUUCAGAGGGCGGAGGUAGCAUGGCCUCGCCCACAGGUACGUAGGUCUUGUUUGGUGGAAAUACCAACUCCACUCCUCUUCCACACUUUGCCCCCACGAAUUCCAGUCACUUCAUUUCCCCAAAACUGUUGUUUGUGUCAACUUAGCAAAUCGGUGCUCUGCCUUGGUUCCUCCUCUCUGCUCUGCGGUGUGUAGUGUGUCUUCCAAGGGAAAGCCA